rnacentral:rRNA from 1 species
UACGUAGGGGGCGAGCGUUACUCGGAAUUACUGGGCGUAAAGCGUGCGCAGGCGGUUUUGUAAGUCUGUCGUGAAAUCCCCGGGCUUAACCUGGGAAUUGCGAUGGAGACUGCAAGGCUGGAGUGCGGCAGAGGGGGAUGGAAUUCCGCGUGUAGCAGUGAAAUGCGUAGAUAUGCGGAGGAACACCGAUGGCGAAGGCAAUCCCCUGGGCCUGCACUGACGCUCAUGCACGAAAGCGUGGGGAGCAAACAGG